UACAGAGGUCUCAAGCGUUGUUCGGAUUCAUUGGGCGUAAAGGGUGCGUAGGCGGCGCGGUAAGUCGGGUGUGAAAUCUUGGAGCUUAACUCCGAAACUGCAUUCGAUACUGCCGUGCUUGAGGACUGGAGAGGAGACUGGAAUUUACGGUGUAGCGGUGAAAUGCGUAGAUAUCAGGAGGAACACCGGUGGCGAAGGCGGCUACCUGGACAGAAACUGACGCUGAGGCACGAAAGCUAGGGGAGCAAACAGG
rnacentral:rRNA from 1 species